UUGCUGACGAGUGGCGGACGGGUGAGUAAUGUCUGGGAAACUGCCUGAUGGAGGGGGAUAACUACUGGAAACGGUGGCUAAUACCGCAUAACGUCGCAAGACCAAAGAGGGGGACCUUCGGGCCUCUUGCCAUCAGAUGUGCCCAGAUGGGAUUAGCUUGUUGGUGAGGUAACGGCUCACCAAGGCGACGAUCCCUAGCUGGUCUGAGAGGAUGACCAGCCACACUGGAACUGAGACACGGUCCAGACUCCUACGGGAGGCAGCAGUGGGGAAUAUUGCACAAUGGGCGCAAGCCUGAUGCAGCCAUGCCGCGUGUAUGAAGAAGGCCUUCGGGUUGUAAAGUACUUUCAGCGGGGAGGAAGGUGUUGUGGUUAAUAACCGCAGCAAUUGACGUUACCCGCAGAAGAAGCACCGGCUAACUCCGUGCCAGCAGCCGCGGUAAUACGGAGGGUGCAAGCGUUAAUCGGAAUUACUGGGCGUAAAGCGCACGCAGGCGGUCUGUCAAGUCGGAUGUGAAAUCCCCGGGCUCAACCUGGGAACUGCAUUCGAAACUGGCAGGCUUGAGUCUUGUAGAGGGGGGUAGAAUUCCAGGUGUAGCGGUGAAAUGCGUAGAGAUCUGGAGGAAUACCGGUGGCGAAGGCGGCCCCCUGGACAAAGACUGACGCUCAGGUGCGAAAGCGUGGGGAGCAAACAGGAUUAGAUACCCUGGUAGUCCACGCCGUAAACGAUGUCUACUUGGAGGUUGUGCCCUUGAGGCGUGGCUUCCGGAGCUAACGCGUUAAGUAGACCGCCUGGGGAGUACGGCCGCAAGGUUAAAACUCAAAUGAAUUGACGGGGGCCCGCACAAGCGGUGGAGCAUGUGGUUUAAUUCGAUGCAACGCGAAGAACCUUACCUGGUCUUGACAUCCACAGAACAUUCCAGAGAUGGAUUGGUGCCUUCGGGAACUGUGAGACAGGUGCUGCAUGGCUGUCGUCAGCUCGUGUUGUGAAAUGUUGGGUUAAGUCCCGCAACGAGCGCAACCCUUAUCCUUUGUUGCCAGCGGUCCGGCCGGGAACUCAAAGGAGACUGCCAGUGAUAAACUGGAGGAAGGUGGGGAUGACGUCAAGUCAUCAUGGCCCUUACGACCAGGGCUACACACGUGCUACAAUGGCGCAUACAAAGAGAAGCGACCUCGCGAGAGCAAGCGGACCUCAUAAAGUGCGUCGUAGUCCGGAUUGGAGUCUGCAACUCGACUCCAUGAAGUCGGAAUCGCUAGUAAUCGUGGAUCAGAAUGCCACGGUGAAUACGUUCCCGGGCCUUGUACACACCGCCCGUCACACCAUGGGAGUGGGUUGCAAAAGAAGUAGGUAGCUUAACCUUCGGGAGGGCGCUUACCACUUUGUGAUUCAUGACUGGGGUGAAGUCGUAACAAGGUAACCGUAGGGGAACCUGC
rnacentral:rRNA from 1 species